GUAGUCAUAUGCUUGUCUCAAAGAUUAAGCCAUGCAUGUCUAAGUAUAAGCAAUUAUACCGCGAAACUGCGAAUGGCUCAUUAUACAAGUUAUCGUUUAUUUGAUAGUACCUUACUACUUGGAUAACCGUGGUAAUUCUAGAGCUAAUACAUGCUAAAAAUCCCGACUUCGGAAGGGAUGUAUUUAUUAGAUUAAAAACCAAUGCCCUUCGGGGCUCACUGGUGAUUCAUGAUAACUCCUCGAAUCGCAUGGCCUUGUGCCGGCGAUGGUUCAUUCAAAUUUCUUCCCUAUCAACUUUCGAUGUUUGGGUAUUGGCCAAACAUGGUGGCAACGGGUAACGGGGAAU
rnacentral:rRNA from 2 species